rnacentral:rRNA from 1 species
GUAAANGUCGUAACAAGGUUUCCGUAGGUGAACCUGCGGAAGGAUCAUUAUCGAGUUUUGACUGGGUUGUAGCUGGCCUUCCGAGGCAUGUGCACGCCCUGCUCAUCCACUCUACACCUGUGCACUUACUGUGGGCUUCAGAUCGUAAAACGGGUCCCUUUACCGGGCUUGCGGAGCGUGUCUGUGCCUGCGUUUAUCACAAACUCUAUAAAGUAUCAGAAUGUGUAUUGCGAUGUAACGCAUCUAUAUACAACUUUCAGCAACGGAUCUCUUGGCUCUCGCAUCGAUGAAGAACGCAGCGAAAUGCGAUAAGUAAUGUGAAUUGCAGAAUUCAGUGAAUCAUCGAAUCUUUGAACGCACCUUGCGCUCCUUGGUAUUCCGAGGAGCAUGCCUGUUUGAGUGUCAUGAAAUCUUCAACCUGCAAGCUUUUGUGGUUUGUAGGCUUGGACUUGGAGGCUUGUCGGCCGUUCUUGGUCGGCUCCUCUUAAAUGCAUUAGCUUGGUUCCUUGCGGAUCGGCUCUCAGUGUGAUAAUGUCUACGCUGCGACCGUGAAGCGUUUGGCGAGCUUCUAACCGUCUCAGUUGGAGACAACUUUAUGACCUCUGACCUCAAAUCAGGUAGGACUACCCGCUGAACUUAAG